AAGUAAUGUUUCCUUGUUAGAAGAGACAAACCAAAGACUCAUACGGACUUCGGCUACACCAUCAAAGCAUUGAGACAAUGAAGAAGC
rnacentral:sRNA from 1 species